rnacentral:rRNA from 1 species
UAGUCCACGCUGUAAACGAUGAUAACUCGCUGUUGGCGAUACACAGUCAGCGGCUAAGCGAAAGCGUUAAGUUAUCCACCUGGGGAGUACGUUCGCAAGAAUGAAACUCAAAGGAAUUGACGGGGGCCCGCACAAGCGGUGGAGCAUGUGGUUUAAUUCGAUGAUACGCGAGGAACCUUACCAGGGCUUAAAUGUAGAAUGACCUUCCCGGAAACGGGAAUUCUCUUCGGAGCAAUUUACAAGGUGCUGCAUGGUUGUCGUCAGCUCGUGCCGUGAGGUGUUAGGUUAAGUCCUGCAACGAGCGCAACCCCUAUCUUUAGUUGCCAACGGGUAAUGCCGGGGACUCUAAAGAGACUGCCAGCGCAAGCUGUGGGGAAGGUGGGGAUGACGUCAAAUCAUCACGGCCCUUACGUCCUGGGCUACACACGUGCUACAAUGGUAAUGACAGAGGGCAGCCACCUGGUGACAGGGAGCGAAUCCUUAAACAUUAUCUCAGUUCGGA